rnacentral:tRNA from 1 species
GAGGUUGUGGCUCAGUGGCAGAGCACUUGCCUAGCAUGUGUGAGGCUCUGGGUUCAAUCCUCAGCACCACA